rnacentral:lncRNA from 1 species
UCCAAUUUUUCUUGUUGGUUCGGUUGUGUGUGCAUGUGCUCUCCGGCGCUGUUGAGCAUGGUUGUUGUUGCUGGUUGUUUGGAUGUGAUGGAGGAGAACGGAGAUGGAGGUCUUUUGGGUGGAAAUGGUGACUGAUGCAGAAGAACGACGCAGAAGGAGGUGGUAUUUGGUUUUCCGGCAGGUUUUUUCGAUAUGGGGAAGGUGACGACGCAACAAGGGGCUGAGCUUGGUGUGACUGGUGGCACGGGGGGUCAUUUAUGUUGAGGAUGACGACGUGGAAGGGGUGUGGAUUGCUGGCUUACGAGUGAAGGGCGGACUGCAACUACUGGAGACAGAAAAUCAGCAGCAGUGGCUGGAGC